rnacentral:lncRNA from 1 species
GCUUUUUCUGCAUAUCCCACUGUAGCAGAGUCAGCUGCCUAUAGUGAAGGUGAGCAGAGUCCCACUCUGGACAGUGGCUUGUGUGUGUUGGUAAGCUUUGGCCUUCUUGCAGUGCAGAGGCCCUGUGGGACUCUCUUGGUCUGUUGUGGCUGGUAACUAUGCCACCAAGGUGCUGCAUCUGUGGGGUACCAAUCAGCAAACAGUGAUUGAUUCUAGGCCCAAGCAUCCCUGUCUAAAGAUGAAAGACCAAAUUGGCAAAGAAAGGGUGCGUUGAAGGUGUCACUGUGCAAAGUACAAAAGGGCAGAUGAUGAAUAGUGGUGCAAUUCUAUAAGUAGUACAGGCGGUCAGGGUCAGCUCACAGAGGAGGGAACAGGACAGGUGUCAGUGCUGCUGUGUUCUCUGUCAUCAUUGCACCUCACCUUUUCUCACCAUGCCUUACACAGUCUACCUCAUUCAAAAUGUGUUUUCUGUUGUGUGAUACAUUGUUGCUUAUUUUGAUACAAAGUGGUGUGAAUUCUUCAUGAACAAAAGUGAUGAUUUUUAAAAGCUGUCCCACGUUUAUCAAGUGACUCGAUGUCUCCUUGUGCAGCUGUCUCUUACUCCAGACUGAGAAGCAUGAGCCCACUUACCCCAUCGCAACCUUCUCAGCAUGUUAGAGAUGAGUACAUUCCGACUCCAGAGGGAAGGAGCUUCAAGAGGUGUCACGGGAACUGAGUGGUGGUGUUAAGUUUCUCCCCUACUCUACUCAUAAGCAUUUUGUAAUUCUGUAAAAGAGAAAAACUAGCAAGAUAGGUAGAAUGUUUAUCUAAAACUUAAGAAAGAUUUUUGCUUCUAAGUUACUGAGUUUCAAGGAAAUAUUUUUAAAG